rnacentral:miRNA from 1 species
UGUUGCGUUUUUCAUACGUACGUAUACGCACGUAAAACUUUAAAUCCGUUUAAAUGUUACUUAUGAAAUAACCAAAUAAGUAAAGCGACAGAAUUUAGUGUUCCGUAAGUUUUAGUAUGCAUUUGUUAACUUAUUUGUAAAAUAUUUAAAAAAUAGAAGGAUUUAAAGUUUUACGUGCGUGUACGUGCGUACGAAAAACGCAACA